UACGUAGGGUGCAAGCGUUGUCCGGAAUUAUUGGGCGUAAAGAGCUCGUAGGCGGUCUGUCGCGUCGGAUGUGAAAAUCCAGGGCUCAACCCUGGACCUGCAUUCGAUACGGGCAGACUAGAGUUCGGCAGGGGAGACUGGAAUUCCUGGUGUAGCGGUGAAAUGCGCAGAUAUCAGGAGGAACACCGGUGGCGAAGGCGGGUCGCUGGGCCGAUACUGACGCUGAGGAGCGAAAGCGUGGGGAGCGAACAGG
rnacentral:rRNA from 1 species